CAGCCUGAUUCUGGGUCAGGGAGCAGCAAACACACGCUCCUGUGUGCACACACUCGCUCGCUGUAAGGCGACACACUCCCCAGAACAGAUGGCUCCAGCCCGGCCUGAGCACAUGCACUCAGGGAAAAUGACUUUUUUUUUAGCAGGGUAAUGUUCAGUGACUGCCAGUGAAGGAGCUACUGCUGGUGAAAAAAUCCCACAUUUCCACAGAGUUGCUGCCUGGGAAGCCUGGGCAAUGUGGUCACCAGCACCUGCUGGCGUGUGCAAGCUGUGAGUGCCAGGCCUUCUGCUAAAGAGCCUCAAGGAAGCAUCCUGAUGGAAAUAAAUAAAUUAAAAAUAAAUAAAUAAAUGAACCCAAGC
rnacentral:lncRNA from 1 species